AUUUGGAUGUUUGCUCUUGAGGCGUGGCUUCCGGAGCUAACGCGUGAAAUCGACCGCCUGGGGAGUACGGCCGCAAGGUUAAAACUCAAAUGAAUUGACGGGGGCCCGCACAAGCGGUGGAGCAUGUGGUUUAAUUCGAUGCAACGCGAAGAACCUUACCUACUCUUGACAUCCAGAAAACUUAACAAAAAUGCUUUGGUGCCUUCGGGAACUCUGAGACAGGUGCUGCAUGGCUGUCGUCAGCUCGUGUUGUGAAAUGUUGGGUUAAGUCCCGCAACGAGCGCAACCCUUAUCCUUUGUUGCCAUCGGUUCGGCCGGGAACUCGAAGGAGACUGCCAGUGAUAAACUGGAGGAAGGUGGGGAUGACGUCAAGUCAUCAUGGCCCUUACGAGUAGGGCUACACACGUGCUACAAUGGCGUAUACAAAGAGAAGCGACCUCGCCAGAGCAAGCGGACCUCAUAAAGUACGUCGUAGUCCGGAUUGGAGUCUGCAACUCGACUCCAUGAAGUCGGAAUCGCUAGUAAUCGUAGAUCAGAAUGCUACGGUGAAUACGUUCCCGGGCCUUGUACACACCGCCCGUCACACCAUGGGAGUGGGUUGCAAAAUAAGUAAGUAGCUUAACCUUCGGGAGGGCGCUUACCACUUUGUGAUUCAUGACUGGGGUGAAGUCAGAACAAGGUAUCC
rnacentral:rRNA from 1 species